GCUUUCCAGUAGGACAGAGCCCUCCAGUGACCCAGUGAACCAGUGUCUCCUUACUGCCCCAACCACUGUCUGACCGCCCGAUAAUAAACCAUGUGGCUUCUCUCCCUCGGGCACCUCAAGGUUCCAAGUAAGACACGAGCAGCGAUGUGAAGCUGUCCUCUAGAGGAAGUCCACGGUUUGAAAAUGGAAACGAGACUUGGCUGCUUCACCUGCACCCACUUUUAGCAUCAAACCAUGGCAACGUCACACACACAGUUCAUCACCAGUGUUCAGAGUGGAUUCACGCCGCCAGACGCUGCUUUCAGUCUGCUUAUUUAUAACCAAGGUGAAUUUCUCCAUCAAAUUUGACUUUACAUUUUUUUCAUAUGACAAUGAAAUUCUAAGUUGUACUGAAAACCAGAGAGGGCAAUGACGGUUUAAGACAUGUCCUGGUCUUGAAUUUUACAAGCACUAAAAAUUUCAGCAUGGCCCCUGUCAGGAGCCAUGAAAGAAGCCAGGAACAACGUGUGUUUCCACACCAUCUGCGGAGGGACAGGCAAGAGGGGACACUGUGUUUAUGUGUGUCUUCCAGGAUGAAUGGGACCCCUUCUCUUGCCAUGAAAGUGCCACUGCGUUCAUGGAAGAUUCCAGAGAGUCUCCCUGACAGUGAGAAACAGCUGUUCCUAAUAGCACAGAGUUACAAACCCUACAGGCAAAACUGAGGCUCCUCUUGGUGGUGUCAGCCUGAGAAACAGACUUCCAAGGCUGAGAUUCUGCCUUCCUCAGCCCUGCGUGUCCCUCCAAACAGGCACGUUCCUUUAAAAUCUGCUUUGCUUCCUUUUGCUUGAAAUUAUCCCUCCAAAAGAAGAUGUGGUCACACAUUUGUGAUCUUACCAAAUCUGCCCUAUACCAGGGCUGUACAUUCAAUUUCUUUAUUUUGAAUAGGAAGAACGGCUGAAAUGACUUCCAUCAGUGCUGGUCUGGGAAGCUUUUAGAUGUCACAGAGGUUACCAGAUAGGAAUAAAAUAAAAGCAAGACUAAUUAAAGAGAAGGACAUUUAUCACAGAUCUCAUAAUUACUCGUAGGUGUGUGGCUUCACUACUGAAGGGGCUGUGUUACUAUAAAAUAAACUUUGCAAAAGUUUCUUGUAAAAGCAAUAUA